UACGUAGGCAGCAAGCGUUGUUCGGAAUUACUGGGCGUAAAGAGUGUGUAGGCGGUGCUCUAAGUUCGGUGUGAAAUCUCCCGGCUCAACUGGGAGGGUGCGCCGGAAACUGGAAUGCUUGAGCGUGGGAGAGGAAAGCGGAAUUCCUGGUGUAGCGGUGAAAUGCGUAGAUAUCAGGAGGAACACCAGUGGCGAAGGCGGUCACCUGGGGUUGUUCUGACGCUGAGGAGCGAAAGCUAGGGGAGCAAACGGG
rnacentral:rRNA from 1 species